GCCGGGAUGGUCUAAUUGGUUAAAGCGUCGCCCCGCACAGGCGAACGUUGCGGGUUCAAUUUCCGCUCCAGGCC
rnacentral:tRNA from 1 species